GCUUUCCUUGUCUUGGGGUGAGAGAGCUACCCAAUGAACGUCUAGUGAGGGUAGCCCUGCUAACACCAUACCAACACAUUCGCAUCAUCCUGUCCACUGGACAGGGCUCUGGUGCAAUUUUUGGAACC